GGGAAGAUAGCUCAGUGGUAGAGUGCUUGCCUUGCAUGCAUGAGGCCCUGGGUUCAAUUCCUCAGUACCA
rnacentral:tRNA from 1 species